rnacentral:rRNA from 1 species
GCUUACGGCCAUACCACCCUGGGCACGUCCGAUCUUGUCUGAUCUCGGAAGCUAAGCAGGAUGGGGCCUGGUUAGUACUUUGAUGUUAGACUACUCUUGACAGAGAGCUUGGGGCUGUUUCAU